rnacentral:rRNA from 1 species
AGCGAACGCUGGCGGCAGGCCUAACACAUGCAAGUCGAACGAACCUUUCGGGGUUAGUGGCGGACGGGUGAGUAACACGUGGGAACGUGCCUUUAGGUUCGGAAUAACUCAGGGAAACUGGUGCUAAAACCGAUUGUGCCCUUCGGGGGAAAGAUUAAUCGCCUUUAGAGCGGCCCGCGUCUGAUUAGCUAGUUGGUUGAGGUAAUGGCUCACCAAGGCGACGAUCAGUAGCUGGUCUGAGAGGAUGAUCAGCCACAUUGGGACUGAGACACGGCCCAAACUCCUACGGGAGGCAGCAGUGGGGAAUCUUGCGCAAUGGGCGAAAGCCUGACGCAGCCAUGCCGCGUGAAUGAUGAAGGUCUUAGGAUUGUAAAAUUCUUUCACCGGGGACGAUAAUGACGGUACCCGGAGAAGAAGCCCCGGCUAACUUCGUG